rnacentral:siRNA from 1 species
UUUGACAAAGUGCCUUAU